UUUUUUACGUUUCUAAAUAUAUAUUUUUAGUAGUGGGAAUUAUGAAAAAUUAGAAAAGGCUGAUGGUCUAAUGCUCCGCAGUGAAUAAAUACAUAACAACAAUAGAAUAACAUGAAUAUCAUUACUUUGUAUGCUCUCUUUUAGGACUCAGACCUGCAGUCGAGCAGAACACAAAUGAUCCACUAUUGUAAUCACUCUUC
rnacentral:ribozyme from 14 species